UUUUGGACCCAAUACAACAAAAUAUUAACCCAACCUCAACCCAUUUACAUCAGACCCAAUAACCCCCCAAACCUUAACCCAAAUCAAACCCAUUCCCAAUACAUUACCCAAAUCAUUAAGCCCAUUAUCCAAACCCUACCCAAUCAGCUACCCGGAGCCCAAUGUUACCCACAAGCCCGUUUGCAAUAUUCAUCCCCAACCCACCUAAACCCAAAUCUACCUAUAACCUAAACACUCAACUCCAAGCCCAGAAGCCCAAUUUUAGACAUUAGGGUUUCAGUUUCUGAAACCCUAAACCUGCCUAGCGCCGCAACCACCCCCACCAACCCUCUGACGACCCCAUGCCCUCUAACGUUGCCUCAACAACCGCUCCACCAUCCUCCAUAUUGCACCAUCCCCUGCAUGCAUUAAAAGAGAAUAGACAGCAAGUAAGAAGAGAGCAGUAUAUAAUCAAAACAUACAAUGUAAAAAGGGGGUUCCUUUUUUCGUCAGUUUUGAAAACAAAAAGAAAUAAGAACAAACCAUUUCAAAUAUUAAGCAACAAUAGCAUUUCCCUCAGUACUUAGACACAAAAAAAUAGCAACCAAGCAAAAAGAACAUCUCAGAUCAAAGAAACAGAAACUAAAACCGAAAGGUGAUUAUUUUUUUCCUAUUUCUAUUUCAUUUUUUUAACCUGUUUUAAUCUACCAUACAUAUUAAAAUAUAAUAAGAUAAUAAAAAAAUAACAAAAAAUGAACCUUUUUGAACUUUCGACCACCGUGUACGGUGGCCGGAGCCGGUGCCGGCGUCGACGAGCCUCCAAUGACCGUCCGGUGACCGGUUUCCCCACCGAAAAUCACCCCGUGCUCCCCUCUCCCUCAUUUUUUUUUCUUUUCCCUGUCCAAAUGUUUUUUUUUUCAGAUUUUUAGGCUAUUUAUAGCCUACCAAAACGGCACCGUUUUGGUACCAAAAUGGCACCGUUUUGGUGCCCAAACUUAGACUAAAAAAUGACGUCGUUUUACUUGGCCCGACCCGAUUCGACCCGAACCCGCUUCAGGAUCCGCGUGUUUUUAACUCAAUGGGAUAUUUGUGCAAUCGGUCCUUCCGCAUUUUUGUGUUUUAAAUCAAGUUUAUAUUUAUUUAUAAAUCGGCCCUAAAAUUUAAUCUGAUUUGCGAUCUAGUCCCUCCGUGCUGCACAGCGUUUUGGUGAAAGGGAAUAUUUGCUGUUUUAACCCUCCUAAGUUAUGCGCGCGUGGCAUUUUGGUCCUUCCCUGCUAUUUUAUUUCUAAUUUCGCCCCAAAAUGUUGUUUUAAGUUCAAUUUAGUCCUUUGGUUAAUUUACUGCUUUAUUUUUAAUUUACUUGUUUUCAUUUUCUGUAUUUUAUUUGUUAUAAUAUUUAUAUUUGUUAUAUUAAAUGUAUUUAUUAUAUGUCUUUUAAAUAUUAUGUUAUAUAUAUGUAUUUUCAAUAUUGUUGUUAUAUUUAUUAUUAUUAUAUAUAUUUGUUCUAGUAUAUAUGUAUAUAUUUACACGUAUAGGUUUAUUUUUAUUUCAAUAUCUUUAUUAUAUUUGUUUUUGGUAUUUUAAUAAUAUUGUUAUAUUAUUAUAAUAGUGUAUACUUUUAUUUAUGUACAUAGAUUUAUAUAUAUGAUGUAUUUUUGUUAUAUUAUAUUGUAUUUUAAUAUCGUUACUAUUAUAAUUGCUAACAUAGUGAAUGCCUUGUUAUAUAUGUAUAUGUUUUUAUGUCAUCAUUGUUGAUUAUCAUUAACUUUAAUAUGUGUCUCAUUAUAUGUCCUUAAAUAUACAUAUAGAUAUAUAUACAUGCAAUAUUAUAAUAGUUUUCUUUGACAUCAUUAUCUCCAAUAUAUGUAUAUGUUAUGUAAAUAUUUUAAUGUCAUAUUAUAUAUACAUUUUUACACUAUGCAUACAUACUUUUAACAUUAUAUUUUAUAUGUAUACUCUUAACAUCAUAUUAUAUAUAUAUCUUGCACAAAAUUUUUAAUACUUUACUAUAUAUACCUUUAUAUAUUAUAUAUAUAUUUUAGUAUUAUGUUUUUAUAUCUAUGUUUUAAUACCAUACUAUAUAUAUUAUUAUAUUUUAUUACAUAAUUAGUACCCAUGUUUUAUUAUACAUAUAUAUAUACUCUUUUAUUUGUGUUAUUUCCGUAUGUCAUAUUAUUCAUUUUUAUACUCAUUAUUUUCAUUAUUGUCACUUAUAUAUUAUUAUUUGGUGUACAUACAUCUUUUAUUAUUAUUAGUAUAUAAAUGUAUUUUCCUUGUCUAUAUUGUUCCUAAUAUAUAUUGCACAUGUUCAUUUAUACUAUGUGUACAUGUAUCUAGUAUAUAUAUAUUUAGUAUUAUUACACAUAUAUCUUUUAGGGAUUAUACUUUCAUGCGUCAUGUAUAUAUGUCAUGUAUUAUAUUUUUGCAUAUUAUCUUAUGUACAUAUUAUCUUAUAUUAUUAUUACUAAGUGUAUUUUAUAUUUGUUCAUGACUUGUUUUUUUAUUAUUAUUUCUUUUGUAAAUAUCAUUGUUAUUGUUUUUCUAAUGCUCUAGUGUUCAUGUUAAUAUUUUUCAUUAAUAAUGUCAUUAUUUGCAUCGUUGAUUUACUUAAAAUUCUCACUUUAUAAAUAUCUUUCCCAUGUUUUAAUCAAUUUCAAUAAUCAAGGCAAUGUAUCGAUUUAACAUUAAGUCGUAAGUUUCAUCACUAUGUUGGAUGAAAUUUAUCAGCUCGUGUUAAAAUGGUAUACCCUUCUCAAAAACUAAAAAAACUAAAACUAAAACUUCUCGUCUUUGCAAUCGGAUCACGACUAAAUGUUGCAUUGAAUUCGUAUUUUUGAAAAUCAAGACAACACAUGUUUAUACGAUACCAGUUUUGGGCAUCGCGAGGGUGCUAAUACCUUCCUCGCGCGUAACCGACUCCCGAACCUUAAUUUUUCUCUGGAUUUUAACGUAGACCUAAACUGAGCCUUCUUUUGUUUAAAAAAUAGAUCUAAUAGGUGUCCGAUCACACCUAUAAAAAAUGGAUUGGUGGCGACUCCUUGUUUAUUCUAAAAUAAAAUUUUAGUUUCCAAGUUUUCAAUAGAUCGCCACAAUUAGCACCCCAAACUAAAAAUUUUUACGUCGCUACAGCUAGCGACUCCACUGGGGACCCUCAUUUUUGAGAGUCGAGUCGAAUUAAACGCGUGUUGUCAAAAUUUUCAAAAUUCCUUGUUCAAAUUAAUAUUUAGUCGUGAUCCUAAAAUUGUGUUUUUGAAAAGUCAUGCAUUUGCAUCGUGUUGUAUAUAUUCUUCUAACUUGUUUUGUCUGGUUGUUUUAAAGCUUUAAAUUCUUAUGGUUUUAGUUUUGGUUUAGUUUUUAAAUAAAACAUAAAGGUUUGUGAGUUUCUCCCUACACACUGUGCACGUGCAUUCUUGCAUAACAUGAGCUCUAUACCCGGGCUCCAUCCAUUUAAGUGAAAGUAAACGCUAUGCCUUCGUGAGUUAACUCAUCCCUCCGCACAGGCUAGUGAAUACUUUCGGGUUACAUAUGACUUAUGCUUUCGUGAGUUAACUUGUCCCUCCGCAUAGGCAUAAGUAAAUCUAAUCCCUCGAAUUGAACUCGUGAGCCUGUGAUGGGCUACGACCGAGGCUUCGAACUAAUCUUAGUAGAUGACAGUACGGACAAUUCGAGUGCCUAUCUAGAACCGAAACCGCAUAUAGUGAACCGUACGAGCCACCUAACUAGAGCCAUGCCGAACCUCCGUCCGUUAAUGGUCACCAAAAUUAGUACAUGGGAGAAACGCCUCUUGUCUCUCAUUUUCUUUACAAGUACACUGUUUAUGCAAAAGAACUGAAUCGGGUAGCUUAAUUUGUUUCUCAAUUUAUAAUUGUUGUGGUUACUAACCAAGUUUGCUUGUUUUUAUUUUUAUUUUACAUCAUGCAUUAUAGGCAUCAUAUUAGAAAGGUGUUGACUAGAGAUUUGGUUGCCAAAAAAUGGGUUUCUAAUGGAAGAGUUAAUUAUACAAACAACCGAGAAGAAUGCCGUGGUUCGGGACUGGUCUCUAAAAACUCAGAAAGAAAAAGGGGAUAGUCUAGUGGAGGGAUGUAUUGCCAAUCUGCCCGAGCACGUAACUGUUAAUGUUCGCCAGAAUAACCUUGAAGAUUUGGUUCGGGUUUGGAAUCAGUGGGACUUGGACACUAGGGUUAUUUUCACCGAGAGAUAUGGAGACAUAGCCAAUUUGAUUGCUAUCAACGUAGACGAACGAUUGAUCCAAGCCAUGGUCAGAUUUUAGGAUCCGGCUUACCAAUGUUUUACCUUCAAUCGAGAAGAUAUGACUCUAACUAUAGAAGAGUAUGUUGCUUUACUUCGUGUUGAAAAUGCACAAUUCCAUAAAGUUUAUGUGAAGGAGCCUAAGCCAAUGACCUUCAAGAAAAAGUUAGUGAGAUUGACAGACAUGACUGACGCAUGGGCUGAAAAAUAGAUAAAGAAGAAGAAUGAAACCAUUUGCAUCCCAUGGACUUUCCUAUGAGAUUUGGUUUUGAACUGUCCCGACAUGUUGAAAAGAGUAAAUCUAUUUGCUUUGGCCAUUUACGGUUUGAUCAUCUUCCCGAAAGUCCUUGGACACAGAAGUUACGAUGGUGGAUUUCUUCGAAAGACUAAAACAAGGAAUCAACCCUGUCCCAACUAUCUUGGCCGAGACCUUUAGAUCCUUAAACAAUUGUAGGAAAAUGGGGAAAGAACGCUUUAUCGGAUGCGCGCAGUUACUAAAUGUCUGGAUUUUGAGCCAUUUUUGGAAAGUAGAGCGCACACCGUACCACAUGUUUUCAAAAGCUUUCGCCUCGUUGGAAGCCUAUAUUGAGAGAGAAUAGCCAAAGGAUGUCACUGAAGAACAAUGGCUUUCAGUUUUUCAAAACCUUCGAGCUAAAGAUGUAACCUGAAGAGCACCGUGGAUUCGCCCUUCGGUUCUAUUAUACAAGGUUGGAAAUCAAGAUUAUUAUGGGGAGGAGUUGGGUAUGCCACGCUAUUAGUCCAAAGGUAAUUUUCUUCGCGACAAUUCAUACCCGCCACUGGAGGAUUAGCACAGUCCGAGUUUGCUUUUGCGGGUGAAGGGUAUAUGAAGAGGGUCCGAGAUACUGCAAAGUCUUGGAAGAAAAUUCAUCUCAUGGAAUUAGCUCUAUAUGCUGAUACCCUCACCCAAGAUUACGACAUCUGGAAGAAACAAUGGGUGAAUAGUCAGCAAAUCUCGUCAACGAACUACACCGUCCAAAAUCCUUUCUCGGAAGAAAUGCCAUCUGAGCUAGAAAUAGCAAGACAAGAAUUUGAACGAGAAAAGGCCAAGAUGUCUCGGGACCUUAGUGCUCUUCAAGAGGAAAACUACCAAUUGACGAUCGACGUUUAGAUUGAAAGAUCUAGAACCGAGAAAGUGCAAAAAGAAGUUGAAGUCAUGAGAAAUGACUUAAGGGACCUCCAUCUAGAAAAUAAAAAGUUAAGAGGCAUAAUAAAAAAUAGUGGGCUGGGCAAGUCGUCGGCAGAAUGGAAAGAAGAAAUAAGCAACAUUAAAGGUGGGAUGGAAUUUUGAAAAAGAAAAGAGAAGAAAGAGGAGGAAAAGGCUGCACAGGCUAUGAUAGAACUGAGGAAGAAGAACGCCGAAUAUGAAGCUGUGUCUGCCGAGGUAAUGACUAGUCGAUCUAAAUGUCAAGAACUAAAAGAGAGGAUACGAGAGUUAGAAGAUAUACUGCAAGAUCAUCAACAACAGCUAGAUACUCUCUUGAAAGCUUUGGAAGAAAAGAAUAGCCAAUAUGAUAGAGACAUUCGUGCUUACGAAGAGGGCCUCCAAGAAAAAGAAAUACAACUUAGCUUUUUGAUAAAUGAAAUUCGUGGGGUAGCCAUGCACGUGGUACAACUAUCAGAAGCAGAUGAAAUUCUCAUUUGCCAGUUCCCACCAAGUCGAAGAUAGAACAUAUCAGAAUUUUUAGCACGAGUAAAGAAAUACGGCAAUAUAGCUAGGAAGUUUGUGUAAUGGCUGAAUCAAAAAUGGCAAAAUGUUUUGUAAUGAACUCUUUUGAUGAAUGAAAUGCCUAAAUAGGGGCUAUCUUGAAAUCAACACCAAUUUCUUGCAUUUCCUUCAUGAUUGGCAUUCAUUUAUGCAUUCAUUCAUUGCAUAUCCCAUAAUCAUUCGCUAAGGUUAAAAUAUACAAUUCGUAGUUGUAAUACCACAAGCCUGGAACCACGUCAUUUGUAUAGAACGCGUCGACAAACUAGGGCAAUGGAGGCUGAAUUCAAUGAAAGAAUCGAAAGAAUGGAAAGAGUCCAAAGGGAAUUACAAGAGCAGUUGGCCAAGUCGCAACAAGAGACAAGAGAUUUAAUGGUGAUAUCUCAAGAAGAAUCACUCGAACAGAAGGAUCAAAUGGCCAAGAUGAUGGAAAUGAUGUCAGCUUUAGUUAAGGGAAAGGGACCCAUGCAGAGCCCUGGCAUCGAGAAACCUCAAUCAAGAGUUAAUCACAGUCAAGAUCCGCUUUAUCCCCCAGGAUUCACUCCGCCGCACGCCCAUGCAACACAAAGAGGGUACACCCAAAGGGAACCCACAGACAUGGAGCAACGGGCGGUGCCACCUGCUCACGUAGGACAAAGAAUGUUUAUAUCAAACCCAGGGGCUAGUCCUGCUGAUCCACUCGUUCUAGAUUUGGACGAUCCAGCAGAAAUAGCGAAGUUGAAUAUCGGUGAUCACGAGGUUCAAGAGAAGUAUAGGAGCUUAGAGGAAAGACUUAAAGCAAUAGAGGGUACUGAAGCCUUCUCUACACUGAGUGCCAAAGAGCUCAGUUUGGUACCCGAUCUGGUUCUGCCUCCAAAAUUUAAAGUACUAGAUUUCAAAAAAUACGAUGGCACGAGAUGUCCAAAGGCGCAUCUUGUCAUGUUUUGCCAGAAAAUGACUGGUUACGUGAAUCAAGACAAGCUACUCAUACAUUGUUUUCAGGAUAGUCUCGUAGGAUCGGCUCUUCGGUGGUACAACCAGCUUAGUAGGGAAAAGAUCCAAUCCUGGAAGGACUUGGCGUCAGCCUGCUGUGAGCAGUAUAAGCAUGUAUUGGAUAUGGUGCCUGAUCGAAUGACCCUACAAAUGAUGGAAAAGAAACCAGUAGAAACCUUUAGACAGUAUGCACAAAGGUGGAGAGAUGCCUCGGCCUAAGUAGAGCCUCCACUGACUAAGACUGAGUUAACAGUCCUUUUCAUCAAUACUCUGAGAGCACCAUUCUAUGACAAGCUAGUGAGAAGUGCCACGAAGGACUUUGCGGAUAUUGUAAUAUCUGGUGAGCUUAUAGAGAAUGCCAUCAAGAGCAGUAGAAUGGAGGGUCAAAAAAGUUCAAGAAAGGUAGCGCACAUGAAGAAGAAAGAACCAGAAGCCCAUAUGGUGGGAAUGGGAAGCCGUUAUACCCUUAAUCCAUAUCCAAACCAACCCCGACCUCGAAAUUAUCCUCCCCCAAAUUUCUAUUAUCCUCCUCAGACCCCUUACUACCAAGCACCACCUCCUUCCUACCCUGUAUAAGCCAUGAACAACCAAAGGCCCGUCACUACAUUCCCACAAAACAUUCUACCCACUCAAAACCAACCCAGAAAUGAACCAAGACCAACAAGACCCAAUCCCAAGAGUCCGCAAUUCACCCCUAUUCCUGUGUCGUAUGGGGAACUGUACCCAAAACUCUUGGAGAAGCAAUUAAUAUCUUCCCAUUACAUGGCACCCCUAAAACCUCCAUACCCGAAAUGGUACGAUCCAAAUGCUGGUUGUGCAUACCAUGCCGGGAACUAGGGGCACUCUACGAAAAACUACUUGGCCUUCAAAAAGAGAGUUCAAUGACUCAUCGAUGCGGGUAUUCUGCGAUUUGAUGGCACUAGCGGUACAUCCGGGAACCCAUUCCCAAACCACGCCGAAGGGAAUGUGAGCGUAGUGGGAGAGGAGGACAAACGACAAAGUAGAAUAUGGGUUUUUGAAAUAAGAACACCUCUGCAGAAAAUCUGGGAGGUGCUAGUUGAAAAGGGGUUGCUCUGUCAUCUUAACAGAGUAUUCAAGGGAAGAAAUACAAAAGAUCAAAGUUUUUGCGAAUUCCAUGGUAUUGAGGGGCACGACAUUCAAUCCUGCGAAGAGUUCAGGAGAUUACUGCAAAAUAUGAUGGACAAUAAGGAGAUUGGGAUUUUUUAUAAAGGCGAAGAGGCCGAUAGAGGAGAAAUAUGCGCCUCUGACCAUCAAUCGUCAGGUUUCCCGUAUAGCACCGACCGACCAUUAAUAAUUUAUUAUGACGCAAAGAAAGAGCCAGUGAAACCAAAAGUGAUAAUCGAGGUACCAUCUCCUUUCCCCUACAAGGACAAUAAAGCAGUACCAUGGAAAUAUGACGUCAAUAUCGUCACACCUGAAGAUGAAAAACCCAAAGCCAUGACUGGAAGUGUUGGGGAAGUAGGUCAUUUCACUCGUAGUGGAAGAUGUUAUUCCAAAGAGAUUGAGCCAGUGAAGAAGAAUAGUGACUUGAAACAGAAAGGAAAAGCACUGAUGCACGUGACCGAAGAUGAGCAUGAAACUGUGCCUGAACAAGAAGCUAAAAAGCCUGUGGACGAGGAGGAAGCACAGGAAUUCUUAAAAUUUAUCAAGCACAAUGAGUACAACGUGGUAGAACAAUUGCGUAAACAGCCAGCGCGAAUCUCGGUAUUAUCUCUACUGUUGAAUUUGAAACCUCACUGCAACGCCUUGUUAAAGGUGUUGAAUCAAGCUUACGUGGCAAACAAUAUAUCCGUUGAAAAACUGGAUAGGUGGGUGAACAACUUGAAUACGGAUAAUUUCAUUUCUUUUAGUGAUGAUGAAAUACUGCCCAAUGGUAGAGGCUCAGUGAAAGCAUUGCAUAUCACAACCCGUUGUAAGGGCUAUAUAAUAUCGAACGUGCUCAUCGACAAUGGAUCGGCACUCAAUGUCAUGCCUUUGGCCACACUUUCUAGGAUUCCGAUGGAUUUGUCCUAUCUAAGGCCCUGCCAUUCUACAGUAAGGGCAUUUAAUGGAAUAAGACGAGAAGUCAUGGGAAAAAACGAGAUCCCUCUAGAAGUGGGUCCCUAUAUAUAUGAUGUUGAGUUUCAAGUCAUGGACAUUACACCAUUACAAUUGUCUCUUGGGAAGACCUUGGAUCCAUUCUGCUGGAGCAGUCCCAUCAUCCCUUCAUCAAAAGGUGAAAUUCAUCAUGGAUGGCUGUUUGGUCACCGUCGAGGGAGAAGAAGAUAUUGUAGCAUCUAUUUUUACCGACGCACCAUACAUUGAAGUGAGUAAAGAUGCUUUAGAAUGUUCCUUCCGAUCCCUUAAAUUUGUCAAUGCCACAUUCGUCGCUGAGGGAAACAGAAUUCCCGCGCCAAAAUUGUCAAGAAAUACCAGGAUGGGUGUCAAACUGACUGUAGGAAGGGGAGCUUGAGUGAGAAAAGGUUUAGGGAGAUAUUUGUAAGGAAUAGUCAGGGCUCUAAAGCCAGUGCACCACAAGGCCCGAUACGGUUUGGGGUUCUAGCCGGAAAUGCGUCAAAGACAAAAAUAGUGGAAGAAGGAUCAGGAGAGAAGAAUUGCGAGAACUUUGGGCCGAGAAAUAGAAUGGGAGCCCAUAACAUACCCUCCUUUGUUAAAAACAUUUACAUUUGCGGGAAUGAUAUACCCCGGACAGGUUAAUAUACAAAGCACGCUGUUAUUAAUUGAAAGGGGUCUUCAGAAUGUUAGUAUAAAUGUCAUUGACAAAGGAAGUGAGGCUAUUAAAGAUGUUUCAACGAUACGCCCUUAUCCUCCUGGUUUCAUGUUGAACAAUUGGACUACUGAGGACCUUCUUGUAGUUUAUAAGUCUUCAGAGUAAUGCUCAAACAUUAACCCUAUAUUGUGUCCUUAGAUAUAAUAGAAUUCUUUUGUAAGAGCUUGCAUUCACUCUUUAUCAUUUAAAUGAAUAUCAAUGAAGAUGCAUUUUGUCACGAUCUUUCGCAUUAUCACUAAUUUCAUAAUCAUCUCCUCAUUUCAUAGCCUAUCUAUACAUUUGCCUCAUACCAUGCCAUAACAUUUCGUUUGUUGGUCCAAUACUUGGAUGCCCCUCUAUAGUUUCCUUUUCCAUUCAACUUUCAGGUGCUCGGAUAUCAACAGCAUGAACAAACCCGUUACGAGUCCUAAAAUCGAUUUUGAGAAGACUGUUUGUUUAGGAGAAUUUGAAGUCGAAGAAAAUGCUGAAGACUAUGUCUCGUCUCCUGACUUGCUAAGAAUGGUGGAACAAGAGGAUAAACAAAUUUUACCUCAUCAAGAAUCUGUUGAAACAAUAAAUUUGGGAACUGAAGAAAAGAAACAAGAAGUGAAAAUUGAGACUUCUAUUUCAGAGGACACCAAGCAUAAUUUGAUUGCUUUGCUCCGCGAGUACAAAGAUGUAUUCGCCUGGUCAUAUCAAGACAUGCCAGGAUUGGAGAAGAUGUAGUGGUCCAUAAGCUCCCAUUAAAGCCAGAAUGCAAACCCGUUCAACAAAAGUUAAGACGGAUGAGACCCAAAAUGUUGUUGAAAAUAAAAGAGGAAGUCAAGAAGCAAUUUGAUGAUGGCUUCCUACAAGCAUCCAAAUAUCCAGAAUGGGUGGCUAAUAUAGUCCCGGUACCAAAGAAAGACGGCAAAGUACGAAUGUGCGUGGAUUAUCGUGACCUAAAUCGAGCAAGUCCCAAAGAUAAUUUUCCCUUACCACACAUUGAUACGUUGGUGGAUAACACAGCAAAGCACUCUUUGUUUUCUUUCAUGGAUGGAUUCUCGGGGUAUAAUCAGAUCAAGAUGGCCCCUGAAGAUAUGGAGAAAACUACUUUUGUAACAAUGUGGGGAACAUUCUGCUACAAGGUGAUGCCAUUUGGGUUAAAGAAUACUGGGGUAACAUAUCAGAGGGCUAUGGUAACAUUAUUCCAUGACAUGAUGCAUAAAGAAAUAGAGGUCUACGUCGAUGAUAUGAUUGCUAAGUCCCGAGGGGAAGAAGAGCAUGUAGCGAACCUAAAGAAGUUGUUCGACAUUCUGAGAAAGUUCCAGCUAAAGCUCAAUCCGGCCAAAUGUAUGUUUGGGGGUACCUUAGGAAAAUUGCUUGGCUUCAUUGUCAGUGAGAGAGGCAUUGAAAUUGAUCCAGAUAAAAUAAAAGCCAUUCAAGAGUUACCACCCCCGCGCACGCAAAAGGAAGUCAGAGGAUUUUUAAGGAGAUUAAACUACAUCGCCCGAUUUAUCGCUCAACUUACCAACCAAUGCGACCCAAUCUUUCGACUCCUUCGAAAACAUAAUCCUGGAGAAUGGAACGAGGAGUGUCAAGUGGCUUUUGACAAGAUAAAACAGUAUUUGUCUAAUCCUCCAGUGCUAGUACCACCAAUGCUGGGAAGACCAUUGAUAUUGUAUUUGACUGUGUUCGAGAAUUCAAUGGGUUGCGUACUGGGGCAACAUGACGAGUCAGGAAAGAAAGAAAAGGCGAUCUACUACCUCAGCAAAAAGUUUACUGAAUAUGAGGCAAAGUAUUCAUCCGUAGAAAAAUACUGCUGUGCUCUGGUUUGGGUAGCUCGGAGACUCAGGCAAUAUAUGCUGUAUCAUACGACAUGGCUAAUUUCAAAGUUGGACCCAAUAAAGUACAUGAUGGAAUCACCCGCACUCUUAGGAAGAAUGGCACGAUGACAGAUCUUACUAUCAGAAUAUGACAUCGUCUAUGUGAGCCAAAAGUCGAUAAAAGGGAGUGCAAUAGCUGACUUCUUAGCAACUCGAACAACGGAGGAAUACGAGCCAUUGAAAUUUGAUUUCCCAGAUGAAGACUUAAUGUGCAUUAUAGAAAAAGAAUGUGAGUCAUCAAAAGAAAAGUCAUGGAAGAUGAGCUUUGAUGGUGCAUCAAAUGCAUUGGGGCAUGGGAUUGGAGCAGUCUUAGUAUCACCAGAAGGGAACCAUUAUCCGUUCACUGCCAGGCUGAAUUUCUUCUGUACCAAUAACAUAGCGAAAUAUGAAGCCUGUAUCAUGGGACUUCGUGCAGCAAUUGAACGAAACAUCCAAACUUUAGAGGUAUACGGAGACUUAGCAUUGGUGAUUUAUCAGAUCCGUGGAGAUUGGGAAGUGGGGGAUUUAAAAUUAGUCAAAUACAGUGAUCUCGUGGCAGGGUUGAUUAAAGAAUUCAAAGAAAUAACUUUUAAUUACUUCCCACGAGAAGAAAACCAGUUAGCUGAUACCCUGGCCACUUUGGCUUCAAUGUUUAAAGUAAACAGAGAAACAGAAAUAAUGCCUCUUCAAAUGAGCAUAUAUGAAGUCCCUGCACAUUGUUUCAGCAUUGAGAAAGAGCCAGAUGGGCAACCAUGGUUCCAUGAUAUCUUAGAAUACAUCAAGAAUCAAAGGUAUCCCGAACAAGCAAAUGUGAACGACAGAAGAACAAUCAGAAGAAUGGCAGCGAGAUUUAUUCUUGAUGGAGACAUCCUAUACAAAAGAGGAAAAGAUCAGGUGCUCUUGAGAUGCGUGGAUGCUGUAGAAGCCAGAAAAAUACUUGAAGAUGUCCAUGAAGGAAUUUGUGAGACACACGCUAAUGGUUUCACUAUGGCCAGGAAAAUUAUGAGACUCGGUUAUUACUGACUGACGAUGGAAAGUGACUGCAUUAGUUUCACACGGAAAUGCCACAAAUGUCAAAUUUAUGGUGAUAAAAUUCAUGUAGCUCCUUCGCCCCUUCAUGUCAUGGCUUCUCCGUGGCCUUUUCUUAUGUGGGGCAUGGAUGUUAUAGGGCCAAUCUCUCUAAAAGCUUCUAAUGGACACCGGUUCAUUUUUGUGGUCAUUGAUUACUUUACAAAAUGGAUAGAAGCUGCUUCAUUUGCCAAUGUGACGAAGGCUACAGUUUGUAGGCUUUUGAAAAAGGAAAUCAUUUGUCGAUAUGGUUUGCCUGAAAGAAUCAUUUCAGAUAACGCCAUGAAUCUGAACAAUAAGAUGAUGAAUGAGGUGUGUGAACAAUUCCAAAUAAAGUAUCAUAACUCAUCACCCUAUCGCCCGAAAAUGAACGGAGCUGUUGAAGCGGCCAACAAGAAUAUUAAGAUGAUUAUUGGGAAAAUGAUCGAGACAUAUAAAGACUGGCACGAGAAGCUACCAUUUGCUUUGUAUGCAUAUUGUACAUAUGUGCGAACAUCUAUGGGAGCAACUCCUUUCUCUCUGGUCUAUGGCAUGGAAGCUGUGCAACCCAUCGAAGUUGAGAUCUCCUCUCUACGAGUCUUAAUGGAAUCAAAACUAGAAGAAAAAGAAUGGGUUCGAGCUCGAUAUGACCAGUUAAACCUUAUUGAAGAAAAACGUAUGAAGGCAAUCUGCGAUGGACAGAUGUACUAGAAGAGAAUGAUCGCAGCCCAUGAUAAGAAAGUACGGCCAAGAGAAUUCCACGAAGAAGGACUCGUGCUGAGAAAGAUUCUCCCAAUACAAAAAGACUUCCGAGGAAAGUGGGCACCAAAUUGGGAAGGACCAUACGUCGUAAAGAAGGCAUUCUCAGGUGGAGCUUUGAUUCUCACCGAGAUGGAUGGGAAGGAGUUACCGAAUCCAGUGAAUUCAGAUGCUGUGAAGAAAUAUUAUGCUUGAAAAAAGAAAAUCAAGAUGAAAACCCAAAAGGGCAUCUUAAAAAAAAUAGGAUCAAGGUGAAAAUCUGAAAAAGGGCGUCUUGAUUAACACAAAAGAUUAGGAUGAAAACCCGAAAAGGGCAUCCUAACGAAACAAACACUGGACUUAAAGAGCAAGGCAUUUUGAACAGUGGGUCAAACAGCGAGACUACAGUAUUUGAAGCAUUUUUGAAAGCUCGAAAUCUUCUACGCAAGAAGCCAUGCUCUAAAAGAUUCUAGAUGAAGGAACGUAGAAGAGUUCAUAUGUUGAAUAUCUAGAGCAUUUGUAUCCGUUGAAUGCGAUCCAUUUUCUCUUGAUGACACUUUUUACUAUCAUUGAUUAACUUUCUUUGUUUGCUACAUUUGAAAUAAAUAAAUGUGAGGUAGCCUUUUUGUCCCUACCUAACCAUUUUCAUGCAUCUUAUUAUGUGUUUAUUUACAUGAUAAAUAAUGAAAUGACAUACUCUAAACAAAAGAAAUGUUAAGCAUUACUUGAAUGAAAAUUUGACAAAUACAAGAGCCUCAAAGUAAGGACAAAGUUCAACCAGGAACAAAAGAGUGAUAUCUGAGAAACGUCGAUUACUCGCGAAGCUUGAAGACGGGUACAAAGCUUGAAGAGAAAGUCAAGAGUCAAAGUAAUGAACGUAGAUCAUCAAAAAUCGUGACGAAAAAGGGGCAUACGAUAAACAUGCCUAAGGCGCAUAGCAUAAUCAUGUAGGCAUAAAGGCAUUUAAGAUAAACAUGUGCAUAUCAUGAUGACAUCAUGCAUGACAUAUACAGGUAUUCCAGUAGAGCAAGAGGGUGUGGUGAUAGUUGUACUGAAUCAAAGGAAAAGACAUUUGAUUUCUACCAAUGACAGGUUUUGGUAUUUUGAUGUUUUAAUUCAUGUUUUCAAAAAUCAACUCAUAUUGCGAGAGGAGAGUUCAGCCUUUUAAUUUCUGUUUUUAAUUUAUACUUUUCAAAAAUCAACUCAUAUUGCGAGAGGUGAGUUGAACCUCGGGGCACGCUGAGGUAAUUUUAAUUUCUGUUUUUCAAAAAAAUCAACUCACAUUGCGAGAUAUGAGUUGAACCUCGGUUCACAUGUUCUGUUCUUUCAAUUUAUGUUUCAAAAGAAUCAGCUCAUAUUGCGAGAGGUGAGUUGAGCCUCAAGACACGCUGAGGUAAUUUCAAUUUCUGUUUCUGCUUUUCAAAAAUCAACUCAUAUUGCGAGAGGUGAGUUGAGCCUCAGGACACGCUGAGGUAUUUUCAAUUUCUAUUCUUCCAAUUUCUGUUUUAAUUCAUGUUUCCAAAAUCAACUCAUAUUGCGAGAGGUGAGUUGAGCCUCGGGGCACGCUGAGGUAAUUUCAAUUUCUAUUUUCCAUUUCUGUUUUUCAAAAAUCAACUCAUAUUGCGAGAAGUGAGUUGAGCCUUUUAAUUUCUGUUUUUCAAAAAGUCAACUCAUAUUGCGAGAGGUGAGUUGAGCCUUUUAAUUUUUGUUUUUCAAAAAGUCAACACAUAUUGCAAGAGGUGAGUUGAGCCUUUUAAUUUUUGUUUUUCAAAAAGUCAACACAUAUUGCAAGAGGUGAGUUAAGCCUUUUAAUUUCUGUUUUUCAAAAAGUCAACUCAUAUUGCGAGAGGUGAGUUGAGCCUUUUAAUAUCUAUUUUUAAAGAGUCAAUUCAUAUUGCGAGAAAUGAGUUGAGCUCAAGAUCACAUGCCGAGCAAGAAUAAAGAUUGAAGCUGAUGAAAGACACCAUUUGGCCUCCUUGAAGUUGCAGUAAAGUAGGUCAAAGUUACAAGUCUCGUCCCCCUGAAGUUGCAGUAGAGCUGAUCGAAGAUAUCAAAGCUUGCCUUUUUAGAGUUACAGAAGAGAAGAUCACAAACCCUAUCUCACUGAAGCGAUAGAAGAGCAGAUUGAAGCUGUAGACCUCAUCUUUCUGAAGCUGCAUGGAAGCAGAUCAAAGCUACAAAUCUCAUAUCUUUGAAGUUACAUUGAAGUAGAUUGAAGCUACAAAGCAUAUAUCAGAAGAUGCAAUGGACCAAAGCUACAAGAUACGAUGGACUGGAAGAAGACUAUUUGAACAAGAAGAACACCAAUGAAGUCAAGACUCAGCAAGACUAGGCAAAAUUGACCUUUCAUUAUGUCUUUGCUCCAUUCCCGUUGCACGACAAUGAGCAAAGAGGGGCAGCUGUACAGGCCAAUUUUGGACCCAAUACAACAAAACAUUAACCCAACCUCAACUCAUUUACAUCAGACCCAAUAACCCCCAAACCUUAACCCAAAUCAAACCCAUUCCCAAUACAUUACCCAAAUCAUUAAGCCCAUUAUCCAAACCCUACCCAAUCAGCUACCCGGAGCCCAAUGUUACCCACAAGCCCGUUUGCAAUAUUCAGCCCCAACCCACCUAAACCCAAAUCUACCUAUAACCUAAACACUCAACCCCAAGCCCAGAAGCCCAAUUUUAGACAUUAAGGUUUCAGUUUCUGAAACCCUAAACCUGCCUAGCGCCGCACCACCCCCACCAACCCUCUGACGGCCCCAUGCCCUCUGACGUUGCCUCAACAACCGCUCCACCGUCCUCCAUAUUGCACCAUCCCCUGCAAGCAUUAAAAGAGAAUAGACAGCAAGCAAGAAGAGAGCAGUAUAUAAUCAAAACAUACAAUGUAAAAAGGGGGUUCCUUUUUUCGUCAGUUUUGAAAACAAAAAGAAAUAAGAACAAACCAUUUUAAAUAUUAAGCAACAAUAGCAUUUCCCUCAGUACUUAGACACAAAAAAAUAGCAACCAAGCAAAAAGAACAUCUCAGAUCAAAGAAACAGAAACUAAAACCGAAAGGUGAUUAUUUUUUUCCUAUUUCUAUUUCAUUUUUUUAACCUGUUUUAAUCUACCAUACAUAUUAAAAUAUAAUAAGAUAAUAAAAAAAUAACAAAAAAUGAACCUUUUUGAACUUUCGACCACCGUGUACGGUGGCCGGAGCCGGUGCCGGCGUCGACGAGCCUCCAAUGACCGUCCGGUGACCGGUUUCCCCACCGAAAAUCACCCCGUGCUCCCCUCUCCCUCAUUUUUUUUUCUUUUCCCUGUCCAAAUGUUUUUUUUUUCAGAUUUUUAGGCUAUUUAUAGCCUACCAAAACGGCACCGUUUUGGUACCAAAAUGGCACCGUUUUGGUGCCCAAACUUAGACUAAAAAAUGACGUCGUUUUACUUGGCCCGACCCGAUUCGACCCGAACCCGCUUCAGGAUCCGCGUGUUUUUAACUCAAUGGGAUAUUUGUGCAAUCGGUCCUUCCGCAUUUUUGUGUUUUAAAUCAAGUUUAUAUUUAUUUAUAAAUCGGCCCUAAAAUUUAAUCUGAUUUGCGAUCUAGUCCCUCCGUGCUGCACAGCGUUUUGGUGAAAGGGAAUAUUUGCUGUUUUAACCCUCCUAAGUUAUGCGCGCGUGGCAUUUUGGUCCUUCCCUGCUAUUUUAUUUCUAAUUUCGCCCCAAAAUGUUGUUUUAAGUUCAAUUUAGUCCUUUGGUUAAUUUACUGCUUUAUUUUUAAUUUACUUGUUUUCAUUUUCUGUAUUUUAUUUGUUAUAAUAUUUAUAUUUGUUAUAUUAAAUGUAUUUAUUAUAUGUCUUUUAAAUAUUAUGUUAUAUAUAUGUAUUUUCAAUAUUGUUGUUAUAUUUAUUAUUAUUAUAUAUAUUUGUUCUAGUAUAUAUGUAUAUAUUUACACGUAUAGGUUUAUUUUUAUUUCAAUAUCUUUAUUAUAUUUGUUUUUGGUAUUUUAAUAAUAUUGUUAUAUUAUUAUAAUAGUGUAUACUUUUAUUUAUGUACAUAGAUUUAUAUAUAUGAUGUAUUUUUGUUAUAUUAUAUUGUAUUUUAAUAUCGUUACUAUUAUAAUUGCUAACAUAGUGAAUGCCUUGUUAUAUAUGUAUAUGUUUUUAUGUCAUCAUUGUUGAUUAUCAUUAACUUUAAUAUGUGUCUCAUUAUAUGUCCUUAAAUAUACAUAUAGAUAUAUAUACAUGCAAUAUUAUAAUAGUUUUCUUUGACAUCAUUAUCUCCAAUAUAUGUAUAUGUUAUGUAAAUAUUUUAAUGUCAUAUUAUAUAUACAUUUUUACACUAUGCAUACAUACUUUUAACAUUAUAUUUUAUAUGUAUACUCUUAACAUCAUAUUAUAUAUAUCUUGCACAAAAUUUUUAAUACUUUACUAUAUAUAUACCUUUAUAUAUUAUAUGUAUAUUUUAGUAUUGUGUUUUUAUAUCUAUGUUUUAAUACCAUACUAUAUAUAUUAUUAUAUUUUAUUACAUAAUUAGUACCCAUGUUUUAUUAUACAUAUAUAUACUCUUUUAUUUGUGUUAUUUUCGUAUGUCAUAUUAUUCAUUUUUAUACUCAUUAUUUUCAUUAUUGCCACUUAUAUAUUAUUAUUUGGUGUACAUACAUCUUUUAUUAUUAUUAGUAUAUAAAUGUAUUUUCCUUGUCUAUAUUGUUCCUAAUAUAUAUUGCACAUGUUCAUUCAUACUAUGUGUACAUGUAUCUAGUAUAUAUAUAUUUAGUAUUAUUACACAUAUCUUUUAGGCAUUAUACUUUCAUGCGUCAUGUAUAUAUGUCAUGUAUUAUAUUUUUGCAUAUUAUCUUAUGUACAUAUUAUCUUAUAUUAUUAUUACUAAGUGUAUUUUAUAUUUGUUCAUGACUUGUUUAUUAUUACUAUUAUUUCUUUUGUAAAUAUCAUUGUUAUUGUUUUUCUAAUGCUCUAGUGUUCAUAUUAAUAUUUUUCAUUAAUAAUGUCAUUAUUUGCAUCGUUGAUUUACUUAAAAUUCUCACUUUAUAAAUAUCUUUCCCAUGUUUUAAUCAAUUUCAAUAAUCAAGGCAAUGUAUCGAUUUAACAUUAAGUCGUAAGUUUCAUCGCUAUGUUGGAUGAAAUUUAUCAGCUCGUGUUAAAAUGGUAUACCCUUCUCAAAAACUGAAAAAACUAAAACUAAAACUUCUCGUCUUUGCAAUCGAAUCACGACUAAAUGUUGCAUUGAAUUCGUAUUUUUGAAAAUCAAGACAACACAUGUUUAUACGAUACCAAUUUUGGGCGUCGUGAGGGUGCUAAUACCUUCCUCGCGCGUAACUGACUCCCGAACCCUAAUUUUUCACUGGAUUUUAACGUAGACGUAAACUCGGCCUUCUUUUGUUUAAAAAAUAGAUCUAAUAGGUGUCCGAUCACACCUAUAAAAAAGGGAUCGGUGGCGACUCCUUGUUUAUUCUAAAAUAAAAUUUCAGUUUCCAAGUUUUCAAUAGAUCGCCACAAUUAGCGACCCCAAACUAAAAAUUUUUACGUCGCUACAAUGUGUUUCAUGUUUCAAUGUUAAGGCGCUACCACUCUGAUCCCAUGCACAUCGUCCCCGUUAAGGAGAUUGAGGUUAGGCCAGAUCUGACCUUUAAGGAGGAACUGGUUUAGAUUUUGGAUCGCGACGUUAAGAUUUUGAGAAGGAAAUUUAUUCCACUGGUUAAGGUUCUUUGUCGUAAUUAUAACAUUGAGGAGGCUACAUGGGAGCCUGAGGAUACUAUGCGUCAGUGAUAUCCUCAUCUAUUCUAAUCAGGUAAAUUUCGAGGCCGAAAUUUUCUUUUAAGGGGUAGAGUUGUAAUGCCUAGAAAAUCUCAUAUUUAUGUCCUGUUAAAAUAUGACACAACUGUGCAUCUGCUUCAGUGGUUAAGUGUUCUAGCUGUGUAUGUGAGGUCCCUAGUUCAAGUCAUGGUUUGGGCAAAAAUUUGUUUUUCUUCUAAAUCAAGCCCUAUCUCUGGUCGUAGGUAAUUCCAUAAUAAAAUGGGCCUACUGGUCUGCAAGCUAGGGUGUGUGUUGGCAGGUAGGAGGUUUGGAGUUCAAGUCCUUGUGUGAACAAGGAUAUUAUUUUUUGUGUGAUCAAUUUUCCUAUUUCCCCAAAAUUUUCUUUUCUUUCUGACCUCAGAAUCCUUUCCUUACUUUCUCUCUACCGAAUUUUGCUUUUUGCUCCACCUCUUUGUUUAGUUUUUCUUUUGGUUUUCAGUCUGAUCAGUGAUUGAAGGCGUGUUUUGUAAGUAUAUUUUUGUCCCUAUUUUAUCGUUGCGUGGCUAGUUGUUUUAAAAGGAUUUUGGUUUGCUGUUGGUAAAUAUUUAGAGUACGUUUUUGAUCUUCUAACGGUUCAAUUAUUAAAUAUUUUGGUUUAGUGUUUGCUUGUAUUACUAAAGUUGGACCUUGGUAAUGUCAAUCAUAGGGUCUAGAAUACGAGAUUGUGUUUUGAGAGCGAAAACGAACCAGGUGUGUACUCGAAACUGUAAAAAAAUGAGGUUUUGACGAAAGCCAAAAACCAUUCUAUCGACGCCACAUGGGAGUGUGGUCACCCGUGUGGUAGGCCGUGUGAUAGAACAAGGGCGUGUGAUCGAGGAGCCAGGCUGCGCACAUUAGACACUGCCGUAUGAUGGCUAGGUGGGCCGUGUACGACACAAGAGCUUAACCAACUUGGGCCGUGUGAGCUACACGAGCGUGUGGGAAUUUGAGCCAGGCCGUGUGAUCACAUGGCCAAGGCCAAUCUCUGCCGUGUGGGCUACACGGGCAUGUGGGCCCAUACGGGCAAGCCAAAUGGGCGUGUAAGCCCAUUUUACUGAAAUGUUUCCUAAAGUUGCAUGGGUCGCCCAAGUCGAUUAUGAACCUGUUGUAGGGUCGGUAAGAACUACUUAGACCCCUAGCUGACUGAAAUGACUGUUUGGCUGACGUAUAUAUAUUUACAUGUUAUCGAGGAUGAUGAUAUUUAAUGAAUUGAUAUUGUAUGCACUGUUGCCAUGAUAUAGUAUAUUAUUAUUGUAUGUUGCAUUGCAUUGGGAUAGGGGUUGGUAUUGUUUGGAGGAAGUGUACUGAAAUGCCUCGGGCCUAAUUUACUGGCAGCUCAGCGCAAAUCACUGUUUAGUGCCGCAUUCAGUACUUUUGGGAGUGUAGUGAUGGGUGGGUUGAUUAUAUCCCCACAUGGAGUGUAGGGUUAGACGGAGAUGGUGUGUAGAGGCUGGCUGGGUAGGAUUUUGUGACUGCAUAUCUAUUAAUGCUACUGAUAUGUUGAUGGGCUAAGGCCCAAUUGCAUGACUAAUACUGUUACUGAAAAUGGCUUAGGCCCAUGCUGCAAUCUUGUGCAUAUUGUCUGUUUGUUUAUAUGGGGAUUACACACUGAAUUUACGUAAACUCACCUCUUUGGUUUAACCUAUCCAGGUAAUCCCCAGACUUGACGGAUCGGUGCAGCGGAGGACUCGAUGGUGGCACACGAUCUCUUGACACUGUUUCGCACUUAUUUAUGAUUUUAGGUUUUAUUUUGGUAUUUUAUUGUAAAUAUGGCCUCUAUGGAUUUUUAUUUUAGUUUGGGAUUUUUGUUGGUUUCGAUUUAUUACUGCUAGUAUUAGGAAAACUCAGGUUUUCAAAAGAAACAACGUUUCAACAAAAUACACACAAAUACGCAAAUUGUUUUAAAAGCUUCCACUUUGAAUAAACGUUUUGAAAACUUUCUACUGAUUAAAUAACACAAUUUUAGAGUUAAUAAGUAAUAAUGAAAAGUUUAUAAACGGAAAUUGUUUUAAGCAAAGUUACGUUUUUUUUAAAUACCCUACCAUGUGACAUCGCCUGAUCCGAUCAUAGUGUCCAAGCCGAGUUUGAGGUGUUACAAAUGUAACAUUUCCAUUAGAAUGAGUCUAAAAUAAGUUGUACUCUUUUCCUUUAACCAAUGUUUUUUCCCAUUGGAUUUUCCUGAUGAAGGUUUUUAAUGAGGCAGCUUGUAAUAGAAGACUGUGUACUCUUUUCCUUCAUUAGGUUUUUAUCCCACAGGGUUUUUCCUAAUAAGGUUUUAACGAGGCACAUUAUCUACCAAUGGGCAUCCAAGGGAGAGUGUUAUGAAUAUCUUAUUAAGUGGAUGUUCAUCAUGAUCAAGGUAAAGUUUUGGUAUACUUUAAAUUCUAAUAGUUAUUAGAAUUAGAUCUCUACUUCUUUUAUACUUCUUAUGCCUAUAAAUAGAGACUCUGAUGAAGACUGUAAUCAUCCCUUUGAUUAAUAAAGUACAUUCUUUAUUGCUUUCAUAUUUUUUUUAUUCUUUAUUCUCUCCAUCUUUCUUUAUUUUAUAACAAAUUUGAUUUUUUUUUAAAUUUAGUUAAUUUAUAUUUGUAAUUAAAUUUUUGUCUACAUAUAGCAACUAUUACUAAUUCAGCUUUAUUAUUGUCCAUUACAGUAAUGUUUUUUCUUCUAUUCACUUUAUUUAAACAUUUUAAUUAAAAUGUUUUUAGAAAAUUAGAAAUUAGACACUUCAAAUGACAUUAUUAGGUACAGUAAAUUUUUUUAUUAAAAUGUUUUUACUUUUUAUUUUACAUUGUUAGAUUUUAUUGUAUUUAUGAUUUAUAAGUUUGAUUUUUUAUAAUUACAUUAGCCACAUUGCCCCUAAUUUUUAUCAAAUACAAAAAGUUCAUUGAAUGAUAAGAAACUAAUUACAACUUCGAAUAUUUUAGGAAUACUUGUACAUUCUCUUUUAGCUCAAAUAAAGGAAUUGAUGUUUCAUUCUUAUCCUUAUGGAUAGGCUAAUAAAUAAAAAGAAAUAAAAAACAAUAUAUCAUUGAAAUUCUCAAUUUUUGAAGAGAUUUUUUUAUUUAUUUUACUUCGGAUGAGCCGAGACAAUAGGAUGAACAACAAGGGUUCUGUAUCGUGAACUUUGUAUCGCGCACAUCACUUAGAUGAACUCUAGAGAGUCGCAUAGAAGAGAAUGAAAAAAUGGAAUAGGAAAGGGGAUCGGAUUCUAUUUGUCCUGUAACUGAGAUGAGUCUUGGUUAUUUCUAUCCUUGAACUCCUCUAAAUCCGACUUUUUGUUGGGCAACAUGACAUAAUUAAAAAUUUAAAGUUUUCUCGCAUAUUAAUUUUUUUUCAUACAAAAAGUUUCAAAAAAAAAAAACAAGAUAACUUCUUAAAAAUAUACUUUAUUUAAGGUUUGUGUAAAAAUAAAAGACAAUUGUAAGCCUUACUAAACAUUUAGGCUAUUUUCAUCACUAAUUCUUCUAUUUAUUAUUUAUAAUAUAAAAACUUCCAAUUUAGACUAAUUAAAUAAGUAUAAUUCAAGGUUUCUGAAUUAUUAGAAUAAUUAGAACAGUGAUUUUUUCCUUCGUAUUAAUAAUUUAAUUUAGUUUAUUAGUUGAUAUUCUGAAGUUACUUUAAUAUAAUUUUAUAACUAUCAAUUCUUAAUAAUUUUCUUUCUUUUAAGAAAAUCUUUAUUUUAAUCUAUCAAAAUCAUGACCUCGUAUCGCUAUUCUAAUUAUUUGACGGAUUCUUGAAUAAAACUGGGUUCAGAUGAAUUUUUGACGGGUUUUUGAAUUUUCUAUCACCAAAUUUAUUGAGUCAAGAAUAAAAUAGAUGAAUAUAUUUAUAAGUUUUUUUAAAAAAAAGUCAAAGAAAUAAUAUUUAGCCAUUAUUUUUGGAUUUUUUUAAUUAAAAAUUGUCACCUGUCACAAAAUAAUUGGCCAAGAGAUUUUUUUUUUAACAACUGGGGUAAUUUGAGUAAUGCUGUACCAUUUUAUUGUUUAAAUCUUAAAAUUGUUAUUCAAAUUAUGAUGGUAAAGAUAAUUAUAUAAUUAUUUUUCUUACAUGAUGUCUAAAAACUAGUUAAAAUUUUGUGAAAGUUAAAAUACAUAAAUUAAUAAACUUUUUUUAAUGUUGAAUGUUUAAUAUAAAUGAAAUUAACAUAGAAAUACUUUUAACUCACAAAUAUCACAAUUCAAAUAUAUACAUUAUUUAAAAGUUAAACUUAACAUAUCAUUAAUAUAAAAACAAAACUCACCUAAACAUAUACGUGGCAGAUCCAACUACGGUGGAGGCAUGAGCUUGUCUUCAAGUUUUAAUUGUGGUAGAAGAGUUACGGUUCUAAAAACUGGUGGCUGAGGGGGAUUCUGAAAAAAGCAUAGUCACUAAAGGAGGAUAGAUCGAGCAUCGCCACUUUGAUUAGAGAAAUAAAGGAGAGAGAAAAGAGAUUUGAAUAGCUCAAUUUCAGAUCUGUACCUAGGUCGAUGAAUCGGGUGGCUCAUACUCUGGCAGAUGAAGGAAGGGCCUUGUCGUCUCUUAGGUAUUGGAUAGAAGAGGCAUCGACAAGGGUGGAGGAGGAAGUUGAUAGGGACCGAAGAGGUUUGUUGUGAAGGGACUGAAGGAAGAAAGUGGAUGGGGUAGAGGAAAUGGAAUCUUGGGGACUCCGACGGUUCAGAUCUACAAGGAUCCCUCGCAUUCUCAGUAAUUCAUCAAUCUGAUGGAAGCAAGACGAGGGAUUUCUAAUGUUACUCUGACUAAUGAACGAGUUCAUGAAGAAGAAGGUUGCGAUUUGGUUAGGAGUGUCGAUUCAGGUUUUAGGAUUUUUCUUUCUGAUUUUUGUUUUACUUUAGCUAUUUCCUUUAUUUUCUUUAAGUAGGGGCAACCACUGUUUGCGUUAACCAGUAGAAGAGUGACAAUUGUAAUACAUACACUCUAAACCUUUUUGUGAAAUGAAAUUCGUUAGUUUUUAUGUAAAAAAAAC
rnacentral:lncRNA from 1 species